rnacentral:lncRNA from 1 species
UGAACUUAUUGAACUGAAUCAAAUUGAAAUGUGUCGAUAGGAAAUAGGAUGUAAGAAGCAUGUAUCUUGCAAACACAAAGUACAGAUAAUUUAUCUAAAAUUGAUGUAGAAAUAAGCCUCAAGUUCUCUACAUUGAGGUGAUAGAAUACUAAUGUAAGCACAGUAGCCAGAGGGCUACUCCCAUGAAAACAGAAACUUUGUGUCAUGUAUAUUGAUUCACAUGGAAUGCUCUGCUACUCUGAUUCUUGCAACUCUAGGCUGUUAUAAAAACAGACCAUCAGAAUAUGUUUUUCAAGGAAAAGUGCUGCAGAGACUGGGGUCUUUUUUCUUAAAUGUCAUUGAAUGAGCAAUAGCUGGAGCAGUUGUCAAGGGCUGGCUUCCUGCAUCACAAGGGAAGGGUUUGGAAGAGCAGACUGGAUCACAUCCCAGGAGACAUGGGUAUCUGUGACAGAAGGAAGUACCCUGUUAGUGUUGCUAAUACCAUUUGUUGCUACAUGGUUGCAAGAUGGUGAUCAAGCCACCAGCAUCAUAGAUGAGAUAGAAGAAGAGAAGCCUGAGGAAGUAAGCAGCAGAGUCCCAUCUUUCAUCAGAAGAGGACAGCUACCUCAAACGCAUCCAGAAAGCUCAUUGCAAUUGAUUCCAAAAAGUAUUUGAUGCAUGUCAAUGUGGUAUGAAGAAUAGAAAAAUACUCUCUGGACUUGAUGUCAAUAAUCUAUUACAACUUCCCAGGGAGCAUUGCACUGAACAGACAAUGUAGAAGAGUGCUAUGGAUUCAGUGACCAGUAAGUAGCAAAACUUCAUCUAUGUUGUGGAAUACUACUAAGCUAUUAAUGAAAAUGAUAAAGUGGAUUUUCAAGUAAUGAUAUGAUGACAUGUGUAAGAAGUAUUAUUCAAAUGAAAAAAAUAGGCCACAUACAACCAACUUUCAUUUUCUUUAAAAACGUGAAUAUUUUUAACAUUCAUAACCAAAGUUGAGCGUGCUAUACAGAGGAGUUAAGCUCCCUGCACCCACAGCCUGGCCUGUGCUGCAAACUGGAAAUACUCUCUCUUCAACCUUUUCUCAGUUUGGGUAAAUAAAUUCCCUGAGCAAAAUGGUGCUUGAUACA